rnacentral:rRNA from 1 species
UACGAGGGGGCUAGCGUUGCUCGGAAUCACUGGGCGUAAAGCGCACGUAGGCGGAUUGUUAAGUCAGGGGUGAAAUCCUGGAGCUCAACUCCAGAACUGCCUUUGAUACUGGCGAUCUCGAGUCCGGGAGAGGUGAGUGGAGCUGCGAGUGUAGAGGUGAAAUUCGUAGAUAUUCGCAAGAACACCAGUGGCGAAGGCGGCUCACUGGCCCGGUACUGACGCUGAGGUGCGAAAGCGUGGGGAG